UACGUAGGGUGCAAGCGUUAAUCGGAAUUACUGGGCGUAAAGCGUGCGCAGGCGGUUUUGUAAGUCAGAUGUGAAAUCCCCGGGCUUAACCUGGGAACUGCGUUUGAAACUACAAGGCUAGAGUGUGGCAGAGGGGGUGGAAUUCCACGUGUAGCAGUGAAAUGCGUAGAGAUGUGGAGGAACACCGAUGGCGAAGGCAGCCCCCUGGGUUAACACUGACGCUCAGGCACGAAAGCGUGGGGAGCAAACAGG
rnacentral:rRNA from 1 species